rnacentral:rRNA from 1 species
CCGACAAGCGGUGGAGUAUGUGGUUCAAUUCGAUGCUACGCGAAAACCUUACCUGGGCUUGACAUGCAAGUGGUAGCGACCGAAGGGAGCGACCGGGGUUACUCUGGAGCUUGCACAGGUGCUGCAUGGCUGUCGUCAGCUCGUGCCGUGAGGUGUAUGGUUAAGUCCCGCAACGAGCGCAACCCCUGCCCAUAGUUGCUAACCAGUGAUGGUGCACUCUAUGGGGACUGCCUCCGUCAAGGAGGAGGAAGGUGGGGAUAACGUCAAGUCAUCAUGGUCUUUAUGCCCAGGGCUACACACGUACUACAGUGGCCGUUACAAAGGGAUGCUACAUCGCGAGGUGAUGCCAAUCCUUUAAAAGCGGCCAUGGUUCGGAUUGCAGGCUGCAAUUCGCCUGCAUGAAGUCGGAAUCGCUAGUAAUCGCAGGUCAGCAUACUGCGGUCGAAUACGUUCCCGGGCCUU